rnacentral:rRNA from 1 species
CACGUAGGCACCAAGCGUUGUCCGGAUUUAUUGGGCGUAAAGAGCUCGUAGGCGGUUCGGUAAGUCGGGUGUGAAAUCUCGGGGCUUAACCCCGAGCCUGCAUCCGAUACUGCUGUGACUAGAGUUCGGUAGGGGAGUGGGGAAUUCCUAGUGUAGCGGUGAAAUGCGCAGAUAUUAGGAGGAACACCGGUGGCGAAGGCGCCACUCUGGGCCGAUACUGACGCUGAGGAGCGAAAGCGUGGGUAGCAAACAGG